GGCGGGUGCCUGUAAUCCCAGCUACUCAGGAGGCUGAGGCAGGAGAAUUGCUUGAACCCGGGAGGCAGAGGUUGCAGUGAGCCAAGAUCAAGCCAUUGCACUCUAGCCCGGACGACAGAGCGAGACUGUCUCAAAAAAAAAAAAAAAAAAAAAAAAGAAAGAAAGAAAAAGAAAAAAGAGAAGGUUAAAUAGGUGUUAAGAAGCGUGGCUCUCACAUAGCUAUAAAAUGAGCACGUGUUCAUUUCAUGUCUCCUGGGCUGAGCACUGUCCCCCAAAAGAACACUGUCCAGCCCCUGGCACUAUUAUUUUUAUUUUUUUAAGAGACAGGGUCUCACUCUGUGGCCCAGACUGGGGUGCAGUGAGGCGAUCAUGGCUUGCAGCAGCCUCGACAUCCUGGGAUCAAGGGAUCCUCCCUUCUCAGCUUCCCAAGUAGCUGGGACUAUAGGCAUGCACCACCACACCUAGCUAAUUUUUAAAUUUUUCUGUAGAGACAGUGUUUUUUUUUUUUUUUUUUUUUUUUUUUUGAGACAGAGUUUCACUGUUGUUGCCCAGGCUGGACUGCAAUGGCACGAUCUCUGCUCACCGCAACCUCCGCCUCCCGGGUUCAAGUGAUUCUCGUGCCUCAGUCUCUCAAGUAGCUGAGAUUACAGGCAUGCACCACCACACCCGGCUAAUUUUGUAUUUUUAGUAGAGACAGGGUUUCUCCAUGUUGGUCAGGCUGGUCUCAAACUCCCGACCUCAGGUGAUCCGCCCGCCUCGGCCUCCCAAAGGGCUGGGAUGACAGGCGUGAGCCACCGCGCCCAGCCCGAGACAGUGUUGAUUGCUUGAGUCCUAGUCUCAAGCAGUCCUCCCCACCUCCGCCUCCCAAAGCGCUGGGAUUAUAGGCAAGAGCCACUUAACUCAGCCCUGACGUGUUGAUAGCGACAGGAGGCAGCCAAAUGCAUAGGCAGAUAGGGCGGGUCCCCGGUGAAACCACACCUCCAAGCCAAAAAGCCUGAAGCCUGAAAGACAGAACUGCUGGUCUGGGAUGAAACUCGAGACCCAGAGCGAGAACUUCUGUUCCUGUUUGCCUGCCCUUUCCUGAUGGGUUCUUUCCGAAUAAUGCUUUUAGUUUAUAUUAUUAUUAUUAUUAUUAUUAUUAUUAUUAUUAUUAUUAUUUUGAGAGAGAGAGCCUCACUCUGUCACCCAGGCUGGAGUGCAGUAGCACGAUCCUGGCUGACUGCAACCUCUACCUCCUGGUGCAAGCAAUUCUCAUGCCUCAGCCUCCCCAGUAGCUGGGAUUACAGGCGAACGUGAAUGCUACCACACCCAGCUAUUUUUUGUAUUUUAGUAGAGAUAAGGUUUCACCAUGUUGCCCAGGCUGGUCCCAAACUCCUGAUCUCAGAUGAUGAUCUGCCUGCCUCAGCCUCCCAAAGUGUUGGGAUUACAGGCAUGAGCCACAACACCCAGCCUGAAUAAUGCUUUUAACCAGUUGAAUGUUGCCUUCUCUAAUACUACCUAUGACCUGCCCCUCCCCAAUACUGAGCCCAUAAAAGCCCUGGACUCAGCCACAUUGAGGGGACUUUCCUGCCUUUAAGUAGGGGGACCACCCCCAAAUCGCCUCUCUGUUGAAAACUGUUUUAUCACUCAAUAAACCCCCCACCUAUUGUAUCACUCAAUAAAAUCUCCACCCUCACUCUUCGAUUGCCAGUGUAUCCCCAUUCUUUGUGGGUGCAGGACAAGAACUUGGGAACCAGUGCACAAGCCAGACUCGGCCCAGGUGGGGUGAGUGGGCGAGCUGUCUCUGCAGCAGGUAUUGUGGCCCAGCGAGGCCCAGGUGGGGCAUCGUCGGCUGGAGGUCCCUGGCUUGCAAAGUGACUGAGAAUAAAAUUGUUCAUCAAUUUUAAGUCACUAACUUUGUGGUAAUUUGUUCUGGCAGCCCUAGGAAAUGAGGACAGUGUGUCAAAGGUUCAUUUAACUAAUUAAUUUAGCUGGGUGUGGUGGCUCAGGCCUGUAAUGCCAACACUUUGGGAGGCCCAGGCAGGUCCUGAGGUCAGGAGUUCAAGACCAGCCUGGCCAACAUGGCGAAACCCCGUCUCUACUAAAAUUACAAAAUUAACUGGGCAUGGUGGCGCAUGCUUGUAGUUCCAGCUACUUGGGAGGCUGAGGCAAGAGAAUCACUUGAACCCGGGAGGCAGAGGUUGCAGAGAACCGAGAUCUCGCCACUGCACUCCAGCCUGGGCGACAGAGCAAAACUCUAUCUCAAAAAAAACAAAACAAAACAAAAAAAACUGACCACAGUGGCUCAUGCCUGUAAUUCCAGCACUUUGGGAGGCUGAGGCAGGCAGAUCACCUGAAGUUGGGAGUUCCAGACCAGCCUAACCAACAUGGAAAAACCCUGUCUCUACUAAAAAUACAAAAUUAGCCAGGCGUGGUGGCCCAUGCCUGUAAUCCCAGCUACUCGGGAGGCUGAGGCAGGAGAAUUGCUUGAGCUCAGGAGGUGGAGGUUGCAGUGAGCCGAGAUUGAGCCAUUGCACUCCAGCCUGGGCAAAAAAGUGAGACCUUGUCUCAAAAUAAAAUAAAAUUAAAUUAAAUAAAAAAUAAAUCACACUGGGCCAUAAAAUGAAGCUGGUGUCAGCAAGUGUGGUCCAAUUAUUUACAUAGGUGCAGAAACAGUGCAAAUAUCCCAUAUAGGCCACCUUACGUUUGCUUUGCUGGAAGUUUUCAUAAGAAAUAUCAGAUUGGGGCUGGGUGCCGUGGCUCACACCUGUAAUCCCAGCACUUUGGGAGGCUGAGGCAGGUGGAUCACUUGAGGUCGGGAAUUCGCAACCAGCCUGAUCAACAUGGUGAAACUCUGUCUCUACUAAAAAUACAAAAAUUGCCGGGCGUGGUGGCUCACGCCUGUAAUCCCAGCACUUUGGGAGGCUGAGGCGGGCGGAUCACGAGGUCCAGAGAUCGAGACCAUCUUGGCUAACACGGUGAAACCCCGUCUCUACUAAAAAUACAAAAAAAAAAAAAAAAAAAAAUUAGGUGGGCAUGGUAGCACGUGCCUGUAGUCCCAGCUACUCAUGGCUGAGGCAGGAGAAUCACUUGAACCCGGAAGGUGGAGGUUGCAGUGAGCCAAGAUUGCACCACUGUGCCAGCCUGAGUGACAGAGUGAGACUCGGUCUCGAAAAAACAAAACAAAACAAAAAUUAGCUGGGGGUGGUGGCAGACGCCUGUAAUUUCAGCUACUCGGGAGGCUGAGGCAGAAGAAUCGCUUGAACCCAGGAGGCGGAGGUUGCAGUGAUCUGAGAUCACACCAUUGGACUCCAGCCUGGGUGACAAAAGUGAAACAGUCUCAAAGAAAAGAAAGAAAUAUCAGAGUGGACCUGUAUUGUUUGCUUCUUUGCAGAGGCAAGAAACGCAAUACCUAUAAUUUGGGUCAAUUUCUAUGUUCCUGGGCCUGCCAGGAAAUCACCUUCCUGGUCACCUGCAAGGCCUGGGGUCUGCACCCUCAGGAGGAUUUGCAGGCACUCCUUCAUAACAGCAACCCAAGGUCCGCAGCAGCGGCUGGUCAUCCCCAGUGAAAGAGCAGAACUCUCCAUAUGACAACCUGGACAAGGCCUUGGUGACCUAACCAAUUCAUCCAAUUGUCUUCUGUAAAAGGAGAAGAGUCUCUUAACUGAAUCUAUGUGCUGUGGUUUGAAAGUGUCCCCCAGAGUUCAUGGAUUGCAAACCUGAUCCCCAGUGUGGCAGUAUUGGAGGUGGGACCUUUUUAUUUUUUUCUGAGAUGGAAUCUCGCUCUGUCAUCCCAGGCUGGAGUGCAAUGGUGCGAUCUUGGCUUGUCGCAACCUCUGCCUCCCAGGUUCAAACAAUUCUCCCGCCUCAGCCUCCCGAAUAGCUGGGAUUACAGGCAUGUGCCACCACGCCUGGCAAAUUUUGUAUAUUUAGAGAGACGGGGUUUCUCCAUGUUGGUCAGGCUGGUCUUGAACUCCUGACCUAGUGAUCCGCCCGCCUCCACCUCCCAAAGUGCUGGGAUUACAGUCGUGAACCACCACACCCCGCCAGAGGUGGGACCUUUAAGAGGUGAUUAGGUCUUGAGGGCUUCACCCUCAUGAAGGGAUUAAUGCCAUUAUUUCGGGAAUUGAUUCCUUAUAAAAGGAUGAGUUUGGCCCCUUUCCGUCCAGCCACAUAAUGCCUGCUGGCAUGUUAUGUGGCAGCAGGAAGGUCCUCAUGAGAUGUGGCCCCUCCCUCUUGGACCUCCAAAUCUCCAGAACCAAUAAAUCCCAGUUUAUUAUCAAUUACCCAGUCUGUGGCAUUAUAGCAGCACAAAACGAACUAAGACACUGUAGGGUCCAGCCCUAUGGGGCUAAGCGGGUGUUGUCCCCAUGUGCAGAGACGAGAGAUUGUAGUAAAUAAAGACACAAGACAAAGAGAUAAAGAGAAAACAGCUGGGCCCGGGGGACCACUACCAUCAAGACGCAGAGACCGGUAGUGGCCCCGAAUGGCUGGGCGCGCUGAUAUUUAUUGCAUACAAGACAAGGGGGGCAGGGUAAGGAGGGUGAAUCUUCUAAGUGAUUGACAAGGUGAAGCAAGUCACAUGAUCAUAGGACAGGGGGCCCUUCCCUCUUAGGUAGCCGAAGCAGAGAGAGAAGGCAGCAAACGUCAGCGUUUUCUUGUAUGCACUUACAAGAAAGAUCAAAGACUUUAAGACUUUCACUAUUUCUUCUACUGCUAUCUACUACAAACUUCAAAGAGGAACUAGGAGUACAGGAGGAGCAUGAAAGUGGACAAGGAGCGUGAACAUUGAAGCACCACAGGGAGGGGUUUAGGCCUCCGGAUGAUUGCGGCCAGGCCUGGAUAAUAUCCAGCCUUCCACAAGAAGCUGGUGGAGCAGAGUGUUCCCUGACUCCUCCAAGGAAAGGAGACUCCCUUUCGCAGUCUACUAAGCAACGGGUGACUUCCCAGACACUGGCGUUAGGGCUUGACCAAGGAGCCCUCAAGCAGCCCUUAUGCGGGCGUGACAGAGGGCUCACCUCUUGCCUUCUAGGUCACUUCUCACCAUGUCCGUUCAGCACCCGACCCUAUAUCCGCCGGUUAUUCCUACGUUUUGUUAGUAAUGCAACAAAGAGUAAUGGUAAAAGCUAAUGAUUAAUAAUGCUUAUAAUAAUGAUUGAUAAUUGUCCAUGGUCAUCCCUAUAUCUAAUUUGUAUUAUGACUAUUCUUAUUCUAAAUAUUUUCUUUAUUAUACUGAAACAGUUUCUGCCUUCAGUCUCUUGCCUCGGCACCUAGGUAAUCCUCCGCCCACAAGACACCAUGCAAAUACCUACGUUGCCAUGAAAACUGAGGAGGCUCAGUAAGAGCCUCUGAGAAUCAAGGGCAGGAGGUGAAAGGACAAAUCUCUGGGGAAUCUCCAAAAUCAUGUAUUUAUUUUAUUUAGAGACAGAGUCUCGCUCUGUUACCCAGGCUGAAGUCCGGUGGUACAAUCAAGGCUCACUGCAGCCUAGACCUCUUGGGCUCAAGUGAUCCUCCUGCCUCAGCCUCCCGAGUAAGUGGGACUGUAGGCUCUCACCACCAUGCCCAGCCAAUUUUUAAUUUUUUGGUAGAUAUGGGAUGUCACUAUGUUGCCCAGGCUCAAGUUUUUUUUUUUUGAGACAGAGUCUUGCUCUGUCAUAGCCUAGGCUGGAGUGCAGUGGUGCAAUCUCAGCUCACUACAACCUCCACCUCCCGGGUUCAAGCGAUUCUUCUGCCUCAGCCUCCCGAGUAGCUGGGAUUACAGGCGUGCGCCACCACGCCCGGCUAAUUUUUGUAUUUUUAGUAGAGACGGGGUUUCACCAUGUUGGCCAAGCUGGUCUCGAACUCCUUAACUCAGGUGAUCCGCCCACCUCAGCCUCCCACAGUGCUGAGAUGACAGGUGUGAGCCACCGCACCCGGCUAAGGGUUUCAGUUUCUAUCAAGAUGUUUUGUCAUAUCUAAAACCAUCUUGGGCCGGGCGCCAUG
rnacentral:lncRNA from 1 species